rnacentral:misc_RNA from 1 species
UCUCCGUAGGUGAACCUGCGGAGGGAUCAUUACAAGUGACCCCGGUCUUACCACCGGGAUGUUCAUACCCCUUUGUUGUCCGACUCUGUUGCCUCCGGGGCGACCCUGCCUUCGGGCGGGGGCUCCGGGUGGACACUUCAAACUCUUGCGUAACUUUGCAGUCUGAGUAAACUUAAUUAAUAAAUUAAAACUUUUAACAACGGAUCUCUUGGUUCUG